AUCUCCGAUCCUCUCGCAUCACGAACUUCACCCUCGCCUUUUACUAGGAUGAACCGUGCGGAGAGGAUCCUGAAGGAGUAUCACUGAUUUUUGACCCCACUCCGUGGGGUAAG
rfam:Ectocarpus siliculosus strain Ec 32, whole genome shotgun sequence assembly, unassigned sequences LGTn